GUAGCUACAAGAGGUGGAAACGAUGGAUUAGAAGAGAAAAAUGAGAUCUCCCUCCUCUUCCUCCUCAUUAAUAUCUCCAAAGAUCUUGGAGCCCUUGCCAAAAAUGUGACUGAGCCUUCACAUGGGUUUUCAAAUCAGGCAAAUGCAUCUGCAUUUCUUAUUUUUCACUGUCUUCAUGUGAUUGACUGGGUUCUAUCAUUGAAGAAAACUCACCUCUGUACAAGCCUUAGGAGACAAUUUCUUCUCCCCGCCCCCUGCCCCACUAAAGUUAAAGGUUCCUCAUUUUACAUAAAGAGGAGGGAUAUAAUAAUUACAUAACACUUCAGAAGGCUGCUGAGAUUUAAAUGAGAUCUUGUUUGUUACAGCACUGGCCACAGCCUGCGGCUGUGAAUUUUUCAAGCUUAGGAAUUAUAUUUUAUUCAUCCUCGUAUCCAGAGUUCUCCAAAGAGUUUCCAACACAUGAGACUGAGGAGAAGGAAGAGAAGUAUCAGCUCAUGUAUAGAAUGUCCCACAGAUCACAGUAAUGACUCUCUCAGCUGGAAACAGAAAUAAAAGUCAUAUCGAUGGUGUUAGUGUUAGA